GAAGGAGCUGCCUGUGUCUAUACAAACCCUUGUCACACAAGUACAGAACUCUAAAUCCAUUCAAUCUGUAAGCGUUUCAAAGCACUUACUAUGUGCUUGGCGCUGGCCGUACCCUGAGCACCAAAAAACAAUCUAGAUAAACGUCAAUGGGGAGACAGACUCCAACCACACAGAUACGAACAAAUAAGCAGCUCUGGCCUUGAGGAAGUUAUUUAACCUCUCUGGGCUAUAGGAGACUAGGACACAUCAGGUACACCCUAGUGACUGCGGACACAGUUGCUGUUAUUUCAGGUCAAUGUGCAAACAAACACAGUUCUCAAAGCACACAAGUCCAACACCAGGCAGGAACAGAGCAGUGACAAGCAGGGAAGGCAUCUUGGACCCUAAGCAAAUGGCAGCCAGGUCAAGGCAACCUAGACCACAUCCUGGGAGUGGGCAGCCUGGAAUGAGCUGUGUCUGCAGCCUUCCUGGCCCUGCGGCUGGACGCACUUAAUUAAGAAGAUGCCUGCCUCACUGCAGCCCAAGGUGUCUUCUCUAAUUAACCUGAGCGUGCAGACCUUUGAAAUCAAGGAUGAAAGGGGAGCUGGGGUGCUGUUGUCCUCAGCGAUCAUCCCGUCGUACUGACACCUCCAAAAUGCUGGGGUCUAACAGAACAGUCUCCUCACAGACUAAAGCCUUCCAUCCUGUGGGGAGCUCCUUAAACAGAGAAGUAAACAAGAGAGCAGCGUCAAGAACUCCCCGAAGCUGAGCAGAUUCACUAGGCCCCUCCCUGCCAGACGAGCUGCCUGGAGAUUUAGACCAACUGAGACACCUGGAAAGGACUCCCCCUCCACCUGUUGAGCUGCCUGCGGGCUGUGUGGUUUGCCUCCGGCUUUUGUGAGCAGUCACCCACACUGGGGUGGGCUUUGCUGAUGCGGCCACUUUUGAGUCAUUUCUGCUCCUGUAAGUAAUCCCUCUCCCAUGUUCGUGUAAGUAACCCCAAUAAAGCUCAUUGGUUCGCCAA